AUUGGGCUGGGGAGACACCUUGAUCACAAAGGAGGUUUUCCCAGGAUGAGGCUCAUCCAUUGCACUGUGGGAGUGCUGACCCCUGUAAUUUCCCCAAAUGCGGGAAACUCGACUGUAUAAUUUGUGGUAUUGUGGCAGAUUUGAUGUCUACAUCCUGUCAGA